GGGUUACCUAGAAGACACUGCUUGCAAAAUUAACACUCAAGAAAAAUGAUCCCAAAGCAGCAUUUCCCAAACAAAAGUGAUGAAUGGUAGAUCUCUUCUUGGGAACUUGAUACCUGAUGGGGCAAAUUGACCCUGCAAUUGGCACCGAAGAUCAGGAAUUAAAAAUCAAAUUAGAGACACAGUUUUACCAUGCUGGCCAGGCUGGUUUUGAGCUCCUGACUUCAAGUGAUCCAGCCAUCUCGGCCUCCCAAAAUGCUGGGAUUACAGGCAUGAGCCACCGCGCCCAACCUGAAGUAGCUGUCUUUUACAUGUUUGCAAUCCCCUCCAGGAAUAAACCCCAAGCCUUCCUAUUGGAAAACCACAAUUCGCUCAGUCCUUGCCAUUCAGAAGAAAGAGAUGCCAUUUCUAGCUCUAGGUGGAGACAUGCCAAACUCCCAGCCAAUGAGGAGCCUCAUCUCUUGGACCAUAAUGAUUGGUUCAGUGACGGGCCGAGAUCUCAGUGUGGCUGCCUGCGAAUGAAGCUCCCAGAGAGGAAAAUGUUCUCGAGAGAGGGAGAGAAGCAGUUUCCUCAUUUAGGUCACCAGAUCCGGCUGUGCCUAAAGCAAGGUCUGGAUAUUUCAAUUACAACAGCCAAAUAAAUUUCCCUUUUUCGCU